CAGGGCACACCACCAGGCAGUAGAAGACAAAUAAUAUUUUGUCUCCGCACUGUUUAGUUGAGGCAUUAGUUAUUUCAUGUUUUAGAUUAGACAUGAAAAAGUAAUUGUGGAGGGACACGGAUGAUAUCCAGAAAAAUAAAGAGAAGUUGAAGUUGGCCAUAUAAUGGAGUUGUUAAUCAAACCCCCUGAAAUCACUGGGACGCGAUGUAGAGGUGGUGGUCACGGGAAUACAUAAUUAGGGCGUCAUGUGCCGUGAACAAACUAAUGAAAAAUCAUGCUUGGCAUGAUGGAAUUGUUGGAAACCUAGUGCAUAUGACUUGAGCACAUGAAUGCGUAGAUAUACUAUAAAUAACUAUAACGAGGGAGAGUCGAGAAAAAUGUGGAAAAGAAGCGUAGCAUGUUUGGGAAAAAGUAGAAGAGACUCAUUUGGUAUGCUACAAAUCUUACUAUUACUAAUUGGAGAUUCCUUUUGAAGCCUUCAUGUGAAGCCACCUAGGAUUCUAGGUAGACAAUCUAGAAAAAGAGAGAAAUCCUAGAAAUUCUCACAAAAAAGCAAAACAUCUGGCCAUCAAUAACUAUACUCAAAUCAUCAUAGCCAUUGGAUCUAUUAUGUUUUCUAAAAAAUUACCCACCUAUCCCUAUGAAAAUAGCCUAGAGUAACCCCCUAAAUCUAUAUCUAAAUUACCCAUCUCCGCCAUUAUCUAAAUAAGCUAAAGUAACCCCUAAUCUUUAUCAAAAUUACCCACUUAUGCCACUAUAAACAAUAUUUAAAAUAACUCCCUAAAUUUUCAACUAAAUUUCCCACCACUAAUACUUAAAAAUAACUUAAAG
rnacentral:lncRNA from 1 species